UCUCCCCUCUUGGGCUCCAUUUCUGGGCAACAAGUGGUACAAAGAUCGUUGCUCUAGUCCUUGCUUGAUUUAACCAUCAAGAGCUAAAGGUCUAUGGUAGCCCAAUUUGGCACAUCUCUAGUCGAGAGGCAAUCCAAAAACUAACCUCUAUUUUUUAAUGGAUCCAACUACACCUAUUAGAAAGCUCGGAUGAGAAUUUUCGUACAAAUACUUGACUAUGACAUGUAGAGUGUCAUAGUAAAUAGACCACACACACCCACUAAAUUAAUUGAUGGUGUGUCUCUCCCUA
rnacentral:lncRNA from 1 species